ensembl:lncRNA
GAGAACUUGAAAAAGAUUCCAUCAGCACAAGUCUAUGGGGAACUUUGCAGAGCAACUCUAGCUAAAAUAAUACUGUUCAACCGAAGACGUGGAGGAGAGGUUGCAAAGAUGCAAUUAAAAGGCUUCCUAGAAAGUGACACAGCUGCCCUACAUAAGGAUGUUGCUGUUGGACUCUCAAAGUUUGAACAAAAACUUUGUGCACAUUUCAGUCGGGUGGAAAUUAGGGGUAAAAGGGGGCGAAAAGUUGCAGUGUUGCUAUCGCCAGACAUGGUCGAUGCCUUAACCUGCCUCAUAAGCAGAAGAAAAGAGUGUGGAGUCCCAGAAGAAAACACAUUCCUGUUUGCAAGACCUAAUUGUUUGACUCCUUAUCGAGGACAAGACUGUCUAAGGAUUUAUGCAAAUGAGUGUGGUGUGCAAAACCCUGAACUCCUCAGGUCAACACAAUUACGCAAACAUGUUGCAACUAUGUCACAGGUCCUAAACCUCAAAAACCAUGAGUUGGACCAAGUUGCUGACUUUUUGGGCCACGAUAUUCGUGUCCACAGAGAGUAUUACAGGCUUCCAGAGGCUACAACCCAGCUGGCCAAAAUAUCCAAACUGCUACUUGCCAUGGAGAAAGGUUCACUUACAAAUCUUCAGGGCAAAACACUAGAAGAGAUUGAAAUUGAAGAUAACCUAGACCUGACUGAUUCUGAGCAAAGUGAGGACUCUAAUGAUGAGGAGACAUAUCCACAUACAACAACAGAAAUGGGGAUGAACGGAUCUAGGCGACCUGUUGAGGAACCUCUAGGCACCUCAGACGAUGUUGACUCUGCCUUAGGAGACUCAUCUCAAGUGAACACACACACUGGUAUGAAGGACAAAGAGAGCAGCAGGAGCGAAGAGUGUGAACAACCUGGAAUGAAGCGAGCUAGGCGACCUGUUGAGGAACCUCCAGGCACCUCAGAUGUGAUUCUUGAAAAUUCUGAUGAAAGGGAUAAUGCAAGAAGAAAACAGAAACGGAUAUGGUCUCCGACAGAAAUUGCUGCAGUACUGAGGCAUUUCCGGGACCACGUUGCAAGGGGUAAACUGGCUAGUAAAAUUGAAUGCCAACAGUGCAAGACUGCUGAGCAUCCUGCUUUGGCUAAUCGUUCUCUGCAAAAUAUAAGAGACUUUGUUAGGAAUCGGGGCUUAACACUAAAAAAAAAAACUUGAAAAAUACUGAAUAAGUGGUGGUGGUGGUGGUUGUUGUUGUUGUUUAUAUGUAUGGGAAAAGUUUAAAAAUCUUUAAGCUUUGAGUUUUAAGCUUUAAACUGUUUAAGCUGUUCAUAUGCAUUCAGCAAUGUUCAUUAAUACUUAUUUCUGAAAUUUUGUUUCUGAAAUUAUACAUUAUAAAUCAGGAGGGCAACUACUGUAAUGCUAAAUAUGCACUUAUUAAACUUUUGCUCCUUGUUCACUGACACUGCAUACUGUUAUAUGUCCUCAUGUCUGUUAAAAGAUCAUAUGGUCAUGUGGAUAAACGGUCAUAUCACACAAAAAGCAGGUCCUUGAAUGCAUGUUGUAAAAGGUAUGGUUGAAUAUUUACAUGACUAUACAAAAAUAUCAUACAUAUUUUAAAUAGUUGGGUCUGUUGGAGUAUGUCCCCACAGGUGAGAGAUGUCUAUGCAAUGCAUAGUGCUGGUGUACGAUGUGCUGAGUCUAAUAAUUUGUUCUCAGAAAUUAGGUAUGUCCUUUUAAUGCACAAUGCCUUCACUUUUGUGUUUAGCCAUGUUCCAUUUAUUCAUGUUUGACUCUUUAAUACACCUUAAUGAAGUGUGUGUGUGUGUGUGUGUGUGUAGCCAUGUUCCUGUUAUUCAUGUUUGACCCUUUAAUACACCUUAAUGAAGUGUGUGUGUGUGUGUAGCCAUGUUCCUGUUAUUCAUGUUUGACCCUUUAAUACACCUUAAUGAAGUGUGUGUGUGUAUGUCCAUGUUCCUGUUAUUCAUGUUUGACCCUUUAAUACACCUUAAUGAAGUGUGUGUGUGUGUAUGUGUUUAGCCAUGUUCCUGUUAUUCAUGUUUGACCCUUUAAUACACCUUAAUGACGUGUGUGUGUGUGUGUGUAUAGACACUGUCCUUAUAAAUCAUGUUAGUCCUUAUAAUAGUUUUGUCAUAGGCGGGGCUUGUCAUCUAAUUAUCAGUUGUCCUCAUAAUUAUGUAUCUUGUCAGGUUGUUAGAUUAUAAGUUGUGUUGUGUGUAAACAAACUCUGAAGUGAGAUCUGUGUUGUAUGGCUCAAAAUAGAUUUUUUGAUAUACACCACAUCUCUGUAGCGCAAGUGGAAAGGGGUGUCCCCCUAAUGUAGGAAAAAACUGGUUUGGGGCACAGUGUCCUUGUAGCUCACAAAAACCCGUAUGUGUGUGUGUGUGUGUGUGUGUGUGUGUGUGUGUGUGUGUGUG